rnacentral:tRNA from 2 species
GCCCGGAUGAUGGAAUUGGUAGACAUACAGGACUUAAAAUCCUGGGACUUCGGUCGUGCGGGUUCAAGUCCCGCUCCGGGUA